rnacentral:rRNA from 1 species
AUGCCGAGAGGUGAAAUGUAAUUCGCCUGAGGAUGAGCUCGCGUCGGAUUAGCUAGUUGGUGGGGUAAGAGCCCACCAAGGCGACGAUCCGUAGCUGGUCUGAGAGGAUGAUCAGCCACACUGGGACACUGAGACACGGCCCAGACUCCUACGGGAGGCAGCAGUGGGGAAUUUUCCGCAAUGGGCGCAAGCCUGACGGAGCAAGACCGCGUGAGGGAAGAAGGUCUGUGGAUUGUAAACCUCUUUUGAUGGGGAAGAAGUACUGACGGUACCCAUCGAAUCAGCCUCGGCUAACUCCGUGCCAGCAGCCGCGGUAAUACGGAGGAGGCAAGCGUUAUCCGGAAUUAUUGGGCGUAAAGCGUCCGUAGGUGGAUUUGGUCAAGUCUUCGGUCACUAAGCGCGGAGCUUAACUCCUGUAAAGGCCGAGGAAACUGGUUAGCUAGAGUGCGAUAGGGGCAAGGGGACUAUUCCCAGUGUAGCGGUGAAAUGCGUAGAUAUUGGGAAGAACACCGGUGGCGAAAGCGCCUUGCUGGGUCUGCACUGACACUG